UGCAACUACCUGGGAGGCUGAGGAAAGAGAAUUGUUUGAACUGGGGAGGCAGAGGUUGCAGUGAGCUGAGAUGGUGCCAUUGCACACCAGCAUGGGUGACAAGAGUCAAACUCCAUCUCAAAAAAAUAAUUAUAGGUUGGGCACGGUGGCUCAAGCCUGUAAUCCUAGCACUUUGGGAGGCUGAGGCGGGUGGAUCACAAGGUCAGGAGCUUGAGACCAGCCUGGCCAACACAGUGAAACCCCUCUCUACUAAAAAUAAAAUCAGCCAGGCGUGAUGGAUGCCUGUAAUCCCAGCUACUUGGGAGGCUGAGGCAGGGAGAAUCGCUUGAACCCGGGAGGUGGAAAGUUGCAGUGAGCCGAGAUCAUGCCACUGUACUCCAGCCUGGACGACAGAGUGAGACUCCAUCUCAAAAUAAAUAAAUAAAUAAAUAAAAUAAUAAUAAUAAUAAUAAUAAUAAUAAUACAAAAAUUAGCCACGCAUGGUGGCGCACGCCUGUAAUCCCAGCUACUCAGGAGUCUGAGGCAGGAGAAUCGCUUGAACCCAGGAGGCAGAGGUUGCAGUGACCCGAGAUCACAUCACUGCACUCCAGCAUGGGUGACAGAGCAAGACUCUGUCUCAAAAAGAAAAAAAAAAAAAAAAAGAAGCCAACACAACACUACAGAAUUAUUGGAAGGCAUACAAGGAGGCUUCAGGAGAAAAACAACAAAUCUUCUAGCUAAAAUAACCACUUACAUCUUUGGGAGAAAAGUACUUUCAAAGAAACAGCACCAUAUUAGCUUUCUUGGUUAUAUAAAAACCACGAUUUUGAAUAUCAGAAAGGAAUACUUAAGCGAUGAUAUCGUGACUUCUGUCUUAGAAAGGUAUUAUCUU
rnacentral:lncRNA from 1 species